GACGAACGCUGGCGGCGUGCUUAACACAUGCAAGUCGAACGGAAAGGCCCUGCUUUUGUGGGGUGCUCGAGUGGCGAACGGGUGAGUAACACGUGAGUAACCUGCCCUUGAUUUUGGGAUAACUUCAGGAAACUGGGGCUAAUACCGGAUAGGAGCUCCUGCUGCAUGGUGGGGGUUGGAACGUUUCGGCGGUUGGGGAUGGACUCGCGGCUUAUCAGCUUGUUGGUGGGGUAGUGGCUUACCAAGGCUUUGACGGGUAGCCGGCCUGAGAGGGUGACCGGCCACAUUGGGACUGAGGUACGGCCCAGACUCGUACGGGAGGCAGCAGUGGGGAAUAUUGCACAAUGGGCGGAAGCCUGAUGCAGCAACGCCGCGUGCGGGAUGACGGCCUGCGGGUUGUAAACCGCUUUCGCCUGUGACGAAGCGGGAGUGACGGUAAUGGGUAAAGAAGCACCGGCUAACUACGUG
rnacentral:rRNA from 1 species